GUAGGUGAACCUGCGGAAGGAUCAUUAAUGAAUUAAUGACAAGGUUGUAGCUGGCCUUCAUCAGGCAUGUGCACGCCUUGCUCAUCUCCAUUCAUACACCUCUGUGCACAUUUCAUAGGUUGGUUGUGGCUGUCUUCACGGAUGGUCUGACCUGCCUAUGCUCUUAUAAACGCUUCAGUUAUAGAAUGUUAAUCGCGUAUAACGCAUUAUAUACAACUUUCAGCAACGGAUCUCUUGGCUCUC
rnacentral:misc_RNA from 1 species